rnacentral:rRNA from 1 species
CACCACCGGCGGACGGCUCAGUAACACGUCGGUAACCUACCCUCGGGAGGGGGAUAACCCCGGGAAACUGGGGCUAAUCCCCCAUAGGCCUGAGGUACUGGAAGGUCCUCAGGCCGAAAGGGGCUUUUGCCCGCCCGAGGAAGGGCCGGCGGCCGAUUAGGUAGUUGGUGGGGUAACGGCCCACCAAGCCGAAGAUCGGUACGGGCUGUGAGAGCAGGAGCCCGGAGAUGGACACUGAGACACGGGUCCAGGCCCUACGGGGCGCAGCAGGCGCGAAACCUCCGCAAUGCGGGAAACCGCGACGGGGGGACCCCGAGUGCCGUGGCACCGCCACGGCUUUUCCGGAGUGUAAAAAGCUCCGGGAAUAAGGGCUGGGCAAGGCCGGUGGCAGCCGCCGCGGUAAUACCGGCGGCCCGAGUGGUGGCCGCUAUUAUUGGGCCUAAAGCGUCCGUAGCCGGGCCCGUAAGUCCCUGGCGAAAUCCCACGGCUCAACCGUGGGGCUUGCUGGGGAUACUGCGGGCCUUGGGACCGGGAGAGGCGGGGGGUACCCCUGGGGUAGGGGUGAAAUCCUAUAAUCCCAGGGGGACCGCCAGUGGCGAA